rnacentral:rRNA from 1 species
GACGAACGCUGGCGGCAUGCCUGGUACAUGCAAGUCGAGCGAACAGAUGGAGUGCUUGCACUUCUGACGUUAGCGGCGAACGGGUGAGUAACACGUAAGGAAUCUACCUAUAAGCGGGGGAUAACAUUCGGAAACGGGUGCUAAUACCGCAUAAUAUCUUCUUCCGCAUGGAAGAAGAUUGAAAGACGGCUCUGCUGUCACUUAUAGAUGACCUUGCGGUGCAUUAGUUAGUUGGUGGGGUAACGGCCUACCAAGACGAUGAUGCAUAGCCGACCUGGGAGGGUGAUCGGCCACAUUGGGACUGAGACACGGCCCAAACUCCUACGGGAGGCAGCAGUAGGGAAUCUUCCGCAAUGGGCGAAAGCCUGACGGAGCAAUGCCGCGUGAGUGAAGAAGGCCUUCGGGUCGUAAAACUCUGUUAUAAGAGAAGAACAAAUUGUAGAGUAACUGCUACAGUCUUGACGGUAUCUUAUCAGAAAGCCACGGCUAACUACGUGCCAGCCGCCGCCGUAA